CCUACGGGAGGCAGCAGUGGGGAAUAUUGCACAAUGGGGGAAACCCUGAUGCAGCGACGCCGCGUGAAGGAAGAAGUAUUUCGGUAUGUAAACUUCUAUCAGCAGGGAAGAAAAUGACGGUACCUGACUAAGAAGCCCCGGCUAACUACGUGCCAGCAGCCGCGGUAAUACGUAGGGGGCAAGCGUUAUCCGGAUUUACUGGGUGUAAAGGGAGCGUAGGCGGUUCAGCAAGUCAGAAGUGAAAGCCCGGGGCUCAACGCCGGGACUGCUUUUGAAACUGUUGGACUAGAGUGCAGGAGGGGUAAGUGGAAUUCCUAGUGUAGCGGUGAAAUGCGUAGAUAUUAGGAGGAACACCAGUGGCGAAGGCGGCUUACUGGACUGUAAAUGACGCUGAGGCUCGAAAGCGUGGGGAGCAAACAGGAUUAGAUACCCGGGUAGUC
rnacentral:rRNA from 1 species